rnacentral:rRNA from 1 species
AGUGAACGCUGGCGGUAGGCCUAACACAUGCAAGUCGAACGGCAGCACAGUAAGAGCUUGCUCUUACGGGUGGCGAGUGGCGGACGGGUGAGGAAUACAUCGGAAUCUACUUUUUCGUGGGGGAUAACGUAGGGAAACUUACGCUAAUACCGCAUACGACCUACGGGUGAAAGCAGGGGAUCUUCGGACCUUGCGCGAUUGAAUGAGCCGAUGUCGGAUUAGCUAGUUGGCGGGGUAAAGGCCCACCAAGGCGAUGAUCCGUAGCUGGUCUGAGAGGAUGAUCAGCCACACUGGAACUGAGACACGGUCCAGACCCCUACGGGAGGCAGCAGUGGGGAAUAUUGGACAAUGGGCGCAAGCCUGAUCCAGCCAUACCGCGUGGGUGAAGAAGGCCUUCGGGUUGUAAAGCCCUUUUGUUGGGAAAGAAAAGCAGCAGGUUAAUACCCCGCUGUUCUGACGGUACCCAAAGAAUAAGCACCGGCUAACUUCGUG